UUUUUUUUUUUUUUUUUGUGGUAGAGAUGGGUUUCUCCAUGCUGGCCAGGCUGGUCUCGAACUCCUGAUCUCAAGUGAUCCACCCACCUCAGUCUCCCAAAAUGCUGGGAUUACAGGCGUGAGUCACUGCACCUGGCCUUGAUGCACAUUAAUUCAAACACAGUCAUUUUGGUAUGGGACUCAGUGCUAAGCUGUGCAAUGCCAAGAGGCCGGGGAAGCAAAGAACCACAGGAGUUAAAAGAACUAAGUGAGGCCCAGAGUCCGUGCUGAGAGGCAGAUUCCCAAGGAAAGUGUUGCCAGAUUUCAGAGGUUCUUCGAGUGCAGGCCAGGAAAGGAACUUUCCUCUGAACUAUGAUUAUGGUUAUAAUUAACAACACAUUCAAUCUGUGGCAUCUGCAUGCUACGAUUCUCACCCCAACUCCACGAAGCAGGAGUACAAUGAGGAUCAUCCGCAUUUGUCAGAUGGGGAGCUAAGUUCUGCUGGAAAGUGACAGAGCCAGCUCUUUUGACUUUCCAGUGGGGACAGGAGCCAGCAAAGCCUAGUUCUGAGUCAAGAGGUUACAUAAUUGUUUAAAGAUGAUGCCUUCUGUUUGUACAGAGCUUGGCUAUUUACAUGAAAAGCAUGUGAUUUCCUGGCCUGCUUUUCAUUUGCUCUCCUAAUGCCAAGAGGAAGGCCGGGAUGUUGGAGGGUCCUCAUUUUGCAGAGGAGGAAACUGAGGCCCAGAGAGAUUAUAGGCCUUGCCCAGGUCAUAAAACACGGAGAUGGGGCUGGACGAAGUGGCUCAUACUGGUAAUCCCAGCACUUUGGGAGACUGAGGUGGGAGGAUGGCUUGAGCACAAGAGUUCCAGACUGGCCCCAGAAACAUAGGGAGACCCUAUCUCUAAAAAAAAUUUUAAAGUCAUGGGGCGUGAUGGUGUGCACCUGUAGGCCCAGCGGAAGCAGGAGGGAUCACUUGAACCCAGGGAUUUGAGACUGCAUUGAACUAUGACUACAGCGCUGCACUCCAGCCUGGGUGAUAGAGCAAGAUCCUGUCUCAAAAGAGAGAGAGAGAAAAAAAAAAAAAGUCUGGGUGUGGUGGCUCAGGUCUGUAAUUCCUGCACUUUGGAAGACCAAGGUGGGUAGAUCACUUGAGGUCAGGAGUUUGAGACCUGCCUGACCAACAUGGUGAAACCUCAUCUCUACUAAAAAUAUAAACAUUAGCCAGGUGUGGUGGUACACGCCUGUAAUCCCAGCUACUUGGGAGGCUGAGGCACGAGGAUUGCUUGAACCCGGAAGCAGAGGUUGUAGUGAGCCGAGAUGGAGUCGCUGCACUCCAUCCUGGGCAACAAGAGUGAGACUCCAUCUCAAAAAGAAAAAAAAAAAAAAGAGAGAGAAAGAGUCCCUUUUCUCUCUGACCCAGGGUCACCAGGGAGAAGAAAGAGAAGAGACAGAGUGGAUGAGACAGCUGUGGUCAGCAAGGCGUGUCCAUCUUCCGCGACCGACUCCUUCCCAUUCAAUCCCCUGCUGUGGGCUCCUGCUUCUUCCCUGUGUAGGCAGAAGGUACCUAUCAACUUCCCUUCUUCCCAACUCUCCGCUCUGAGUACUGCCCUAGAAGCCAACUCAGCUGCCUCCUGCUGCCCCAGCUCUCCAUCUUAACUAGAGCCUCUCACUCCUGGGUACCCAUUGCCUCAAAUCCUGCCUCUGGGCCCAAGCAGCAGGCUGAACAAAGACCUGUCCCCGGCUGGGUGUGGUGGCUCACGCCUGUAAUCCCAGCACUUUGGGAGGCCGAGGCGAGCAGAUCACGAGGUCAGGAGAGCGAGACCAUCCUGGCUAAGAUGGUGAAACUCCAUCUUUAUUAAAAAUACAAAAAAUUAGCUGGGGGUGGCGGCGUGUGCCUGUAGUCCCAGCUACUCCGGAGGCUGAGGCAGGAAAACGGCAUGAACCCAGGAGGUGGAGGUUGCAGUGAGCCGAGACUGCGCCACUGCACUCCAGCCUGGGCGACAGAGAGAGACUGUCUCAAAAAACAGACAAACAAACGACAAUAACAACAAAAAAACCUGUCCCCAGUUCACAGGUCACCUAGGAAUUUUUUUUUUUUUUUUUCUGAGAUGGGUUUCGCUCUUGUUGCCCA
rnacentral:lncRNA from 1 species